CAGCUGCUGGGUAGAGACAACAUCUGCCAUGUCAGGAGUACACUCAGCUGGCCUAAUGGGAGGCCCACACAGAGAGGCACUGAGGUCGCCAAUCAAUAACCAACACCAAUACAGCGCAGACCAUAAGCCAGUGUCCCAACUAGGGACUUGAAGAUGAGUCUACAGAGAUGACCAGAGCGGUGCUGGGUGAACUUCAUUUUCCUUUCCUAGUCAAGAAGGCUUAAGUAAUAGUAUGAGGAAAUACCUGAAGACCCAAACCCUGGUAGAAAAGACACUGCUGUCAUGGCAACAUUCUAAGGUCUCUGUGUCAUCCAGGCUGGAGUCCACUGGUGUGAUCUCAGCUCACUGCAACCUCUACCUCCACGUUCAAGCAAUCCUCCUGCCUUAGCCACUCAAGUACCUGGGAUUACAGGUGUGCACCACCACACCCGGCUAAUUUUUGUAUUUUUGGUAGAGAUGGGGUUUGCCAUGUUGCUCAGGCAGGUGUCGAACUCCUGGGCUCCAGUGAUCUGCCCGCCUUGGCAUCCCAAAGUGCUGGGAUUAUAGGCAUGAGCCACUGCACCCGGCUGAAGUCUUUUCUUUCUUUCUUCCUCUCUUGCUUUCUUCCUUUGUGGUGUGAUGAUUUUCUGUGGCCAUAUGCCUUGAAUCCUGUCUUUAUAUAUUUUGUGAAAUUGCUAUAGGCUUUUGGUUUGCAGUUAUAAUGAAGCUUAUAUUAAAUAUCUUAACCUUAUAACAGGCUGCUUAAGCUGAUAAAAACUUCAUUUUAAUAGUGUACAAAAUUUCUACACUUUCCUUUUCUCCCUCCCACCAUUCGUGAUUUUGAUAUCAAAAUUUAUCUUUUUUUGUAAUUUUUAUAUUUUAAAAAUUUAUUGUAGUUAUUUUUAAAUAGUUUUAUCUUUUAACCCUCCUAGUAGGGAUAGAAUUGCUUUACACACCACUCUCACAGUACAAGAGAUUCUGCAUAUGACUAUGUAUUACUUGUACCAUUGAGAAUUUUACUUUCAUAUGUUUUAUGUUAUUAAUUAGCAGACUUUCACUUCAGCUUAAAUAACUUCCUUUAGCAAUUUCUGUAAUGCAGUCCUAGAGGUGAUACACUACCUUAGCUUUUGUUUCUCUGAGAAAGUUGUUUUCCCCUCAUUUCUGAUCGAUGAUUUUUUUUUUUUUUUUUUUUUUUUAGCUUUAGCACAUUGAAUAUGUCAUACUACUCUCUCCUGGACUGCAGAGUUUUUGCUGACAAAUCUGCUGACAGCCAUGUUGGAACUCUCUUGAUUGUGGUGAAGCCUAAGAAACACUGUCUAAGCUAAAGGGCCAAGGUCAACAUCAACAGCGAAAGAGGAGACUUUGGGACUUGGAAGUGACUCCUAAAAUAGAGUAUUUUUAAAACUAUGGAACAUAACCUCAAUAACAUUAUUGAGAAUGGCUACUUGGCAAAUAAGGGAACUUUUGCAUCAGAGAUUAUUUAUGAUACAUCACAAUAGCAAUCUUAAAAAUGGAAGCAGAUUCUGAGAGACCUAAAGCACAAAUAAAUGAUAAAGGAUUGCAAGUGUAAAUAUUAGGUUUCUCUAGGAUGAAGAAAUCUCCUUAAAAAAAGGCCUACGUUUCAAAGCCUAGCUGUGCAGGAUGAAUGAAAAUCCAUUUGCCCAAUAAACUAGAAAAUCUAGAAGAAAUGGAUAAAUUCCUUGACACAUACACCCUCCCAAGACUAAACCAGGAAGAAGUUGAAUCUCUGAAUAGACCAAUAACAGGCUCUGAAAUUGUGGCAAUAAUCAAUAGCUUACCAACCAAAAAAAGCCCAGGACCAGAUGGAUUCAUAGCCGAAUUCUACCAGAG
rnacentral:lncRNA from 1 species